GUAUAUAUUAACAUUCUUUCUUAUUUUCAAGUAUUUUUUAAUGUAUGUUUCUCUUUAGAUUGUAGAAAGAAUGGAUGGAAUUGAUCAAAAGAGCAAGUCUAUACUAAAACUAGCAUGUGAUUUCUCUAAAGAUUUUUGAUGUGGUGGUCUUGAUUUUAUGCAAUGGGUUAGCUGAAUGCAUUUUGAUAAGUGGCUUGACCAGAAGUUUGUGAUAAUAGUAUUAGUGAUUCAUGCAGCCUCGAAAUACUAAUGAACAGUAUAUUGAUGUCAGAAGUCUCACAGUUGCUUGACAACUAGAUGAUCAUUUAGCUUCUCCAAAACAUAUUACAACAUAUGCUCAAAAUUUCAUAAUUGUUAGGUAUAAAUGGUUGUCAUGACCGUUCUUUACAGGUGAUUCUGGAAAGAUAACGGAAGCUCUUGGCUUGAAGAGAUGGAUGAAUAGUCAUUUCUUUUUAAUACAAUUCUCAAGUCGCAUUCUUUUCCACUGAGUUCUAGUAUGGAAUUUGCUGAUAUUAUGCUCCCUGACGUUCUCAGAAGAAUAUAAGUAAAAAAAUUUAGAAGUGAUGGACUGGGAUGUUGACAACAACUACAACAUUGAAUCCAUGCCCAAUUCUAAAGCAAGAAUCAUAUAGGAAGAUACGCUUGCUUAGAGAUCAACAGAGCAUUCUUGAAGGCUAGCACCUGUGAUUUUACAACAACCUUCCAUAGUCCAUUACUACAACAUUUCAACAUUUCACUGCACAAAUAGAAGUAUGCUAGAAUUUGGCUUGCUACGCUAGCACACAUAUGCUUGUGUAAUUACUUGAUAGAUACUUUGGAAUCAUAACGAUGAAUUCUUUCAUCCCAGAUUUGUGUUUGCGAUAUGAAAGCAAAGUCAGCCAUUGUAAUCAACUAAGUAAUUGUAUUUCUAUUGUAUUCUUAUUGGUAAUCUACAAAUUUUUAAGGAUU